GUGGGCAAUCAACAGGUACCUAAGGCCGAAAGCUAUUGUUACUCCCCUCGGGCAGCCCCGCCCCUAGGGGCAGGGCGAGACAGCGGAAAUGACGACAAUGAGCGUUCUAUUAAAUAUCCGUAGGCGGGCCUCUACCCCUCUCUCGGCCUUAGCGCCAUCUUCGGAGGUUAGUGUCUGUGCUGCUGUGGUCGUAUUCCGAGUACAAUCCAUUAACAUCUGAUCUCUGCACUUACCAUCGUUAUAGCAAACUAACUGCAGACUCUUCUUCUUUCCCCGUAGAAACCUCCGCGCCAUGAGAGCGAAGUGGAGGAAGAAGCGAAUGCGCAGGCUGAAGCGCAAAAGAAGAAAGAUGAGGCAGAGGUCCAAGUAAACUUGUACACCCAUGGAAGCCACAGGAGCAGAAACAAGGGAAGCCCGAGGCCAGGGACGCUGGUACAAAUUGUUGGACUGCUUGCCUACUGUCUAGAACUUGUCUCAGUGGAUCUGGAACAUCGAUGGCUAUUCUGAUCGCCUCAACCACCUUUGAGAGGCCCACCUUGCUCCUAUCAAAACGGUCCCUUUUGGUCCUUUGCCCUGGACCUUUGACAUACUGGACUAGUUCUAUUCUCAGUUGUGGCUGAAUGUAACAUGUAACAAUAAAUAAUCUCUUUUGCUGUCUUAGCUGAAGAAAAAAAUU